GAAAACAACGUAACAGGAAAGAAUAUUCAUAAAAUUAAUAAAACGUCAACUUUAAAGCAAUUAGUAGAACCUGUGUAGUGCUCAGAUAGUAAAAUUCGACAUCAUAAUGGAGUUAUAUGUAUGUAUGUGAUGAUGUUGGUUGGACUAGUGACAAGACUGUCCUUUAACCGUUCACAGAUAUGUGCUUUGUUUUCGUAAUAAGUGUCCUGAUCGAACAAUAGAGCAAUGGAGCUGGAACUGGUACAGACUCGUGGAAUCCCACUGUCUAAUUAAAUCAGAGGGGACAAAUGAUUGUUGCGGACGUUUACUGCUAAUUUCUGCCCAGUGCUCUGAAUUUUAAAUCGUAGUAAUUCGAGUAAGUGUCGGUUAACGCCGUGAAAGACUUUAACAUUCUUAAGGUAAUCAAAUGUCUCGUCAGCUGACUACUGACCCGUAUGAAUAUAUUAACAAAAUCCUGACUAUCCCUAACUACUAUCUAACAAAACCGCAGCCAAAGGAACGGGCUUGGUAAAAAUAGCGGGGAAAGAAUAACCUGUUGAGAAUGACAGUUUGACAUUGCCAGGAAUCAUAAGAGGUGUACUAUAGGUGGGUGAUUAAUGAUUAGUAAUCUUUGAUCGACAAUGAAAUACCACCACUUUCAUCGGUUUUUCACUUAUUCGGUAAGAAGAGGAUUGAGUUUUGACUUUUUGUCCUAUCUCUUAUUGUUGUCCUAUCUACUUUAUUUGUUAUAAGUACGGUCAUCUGGUGACUAAACGAUUCUCACCGAAGACAGUGUCAGGCGGGAAGCUUGACUGGUUCUGUACAUCCGUUAAAAUGUAACGCAGAUGUCCUAAGGUUAGCUCAGUGAGGACGGAAAUCUCUCGCGGAGUAGAAGGGAAAAAGGUUGCUCGAUUUUGACUUUCAGUACGAGUACAGAUCGCGGAAACUUAGCUUAUCAAUCUUUUAAUCCAGAUAGUAUCCGUUAAAGGGUGUCGAAAAAGUUACCACAGACACAUAUUUUAAAUUGAGCUUAUAAGAUUA
rnacentral:ncRNA from 1 species